rnacentral:rRNA from 1 species
UACGUAGGUGGCAAGCGUUGUCCGGAUUUAUUGGGUUUAAAGGGUGCGUAGGUUGUGUUGUAAGUCAGUGGUGAAAUCCGGCAGCUUAACUGUCGAUGUGCCAUUGAUACUGCAGCACUUGAGUACAGACGAGGUAGGCGGAAUUGACGGUGUAGCGGUGAAAUGCUUAGAUAUCGUCAAGAACACCGAUAGCGAAGGCAGCUUACUAGACUGUAACUGACACUGAUGCACGAAAGUGUGGGGAUCAAACAGGAUUAGAAACCCUUGUAGUCC